AACCGAAUAUCGAAAAUACGGUACGAAAGGCUUUUUGCCCGGUAGGUAAUAGGGAAUCCGGUGAGAAUCCGGAGCAACCGUCAUUACUGUAUCUGAGCCUAUGCUCACAAGUCAGAAUACCCCCGUAUUUUUCGGCAUUGUC
rnacentral:ncRNA from 2 species